UUAGCGACCCAUCCCUUAAAGAGAAGGAAGCGCCUAAGAUUCGUAAAUGCUUAUUUGGUCGAAAGCAACAACAAAACUCAGAGGGCCCGCAAACAAACAGGAAGUUUUAUUAGUAAAUUACACACUUGGUGUGGAAGUUGUUGUGUUAGUUCCUAUACCUGCUACAUAAGUACAAGGCAGUGCGUUUUGGAUAAGGGGUGAAAGAAAAGAGAGGAAUUAAAGAGAAAGACAUGAAUUAAAGAAAGAAAGAAAGAAAAAGGAAAAGAAAGGGAAAACAGAAAACCAGUCCUGGUUCCAGGGUUCAUCCCUGAGGUGUUGUCAAUCCUGGUUUCAGCAUCAAUCCAGCUGUGCUGGUCCAGCUGAUGAGAAGUUCAGGGUCCUGGGGGUCUGUUUCCAUGUAGCUAAUGUCCAGUGUGGCACACUGAAUGUCUGUUUUGGCUGUAUUUAUCGUGUAUUUACAUGCAGACGUUAUUGUCCAUUGUUGUUAACAAGUCUGUAGGCAAAGGAAGCGCUUCAGGUCAUGCAGAGAGUAUGAAAUAGUGGUUCUGUAGGCAUCUCUGUAGGAUGUUUUUAUCAUAGUUCUGCCAUGUAAUUUUUAGAAUUUUCUGCUCUAACAAUGUUUAGAACUGGUGUUAUUCUUGAUUUCAGUAAACUGGUGCAAUCUAUAGAUAGUUAAUCUCACUUUUUACUUUGAGCAGAAAUUUUAGCUCCUUGAUAUCUUUCACAACUGGUGCCUUUUUUUUUUUUAAUAGGUAAAUAUUUUUACUAAGUUUAUGUAUGGUUUGCAAAACAUUCCUUAAGUCACUGGACAAAAUCUAAUUUCACUUAAAGGUCUUCUUCUAAUUAAUUUGAUUGACUUGCCUUAUUUUUCUUGAAGGAAGACUUUCUUAUUUUGAAAUUCAGACUUAAUCUAAUGAAUACCAAAAAUAAAUAAAAUGGAAACAUCUUUCUGAUAGAUCACUUUGCAAGUAACAGCAGCGUAGUGGAUAGGGUCAAACCAGCAUGGCAGGAAUUCCAGAGUCACAGACCCUGGCCACACUUGUUUGUCCCCAGCCUUGGGAAGCUCAUGCAACAGGUAACUAAGGAAGUUGAUAAUCAGACCUUUUAGACCCUGACCAGUGCCAUGGAGUUCUGAGCUGCUAAACUGCAGAGGUAGGGAGAUGAACUAUCCAGGAGAGUGGCAGAACAGUUGUGAGGAAGACAUGGCAGGAGCCUGGAACACCUGACAGGAAGAGAAAUAUCUUUUCUAAGACUGGAGAGAAUAAAUCAUUAAGACUGCUGCUGCAAAGGACUGUUGAAAAAGGGGGAAAAAAGUUUAAUUGCAAGAGUGGAGAGGAAACCCUGUAAAACGACAAAUUAAAUAAAUGAAAAGGCUUUUCACAUUGUACCUAUACAGAAAGGCUGAGCAGAUUGUUUAUAUAACUAUAGUUAUUAGCUAAAAUAACUCUCUUCCUCUUCUCUGUAUGUUCAGUUGAUAAUCAUGUACUUGUAAACGAGCAGUACUGCACACACUGCUGUUGGAAGUGUUUUGUAAUUUGGAUAUGCAAAAAGACAUAGCAUGAGUUAUCAGGACUAGUGUUUGGAUAUAUGAUAAUCAAAUUAAUUUAAAACAAUAUCUAUUUUCUUUCCCACAUGGACUUAUUUUUAGAAAAUAAGUAAAAUGUCCAAAUCAUGAUCAAUGUGGUAAUUUAAAUAUUACAUUAGUUAUCAAUGUCAGAGGACAUUUUAUGAUUUUUGUUUUAUGUAAGCCCAAUAACCACUUUUUUAGUGUUUGGACUACUUUCUUCUUUCUACAUAGAAGAAAGAAAGGAAUGUUCAUUCUCUUGCCUUGUUCACCUUGCCUAAUCUAUUUAGGUCCUGAAUGAAAGCUCUUGAAUGCUAUUAGAAGUGGUGAAUAAAAGUUUUUACCACAGCUUGAGACACUGAUCUGCAAACCAUAAUGAUGCAUAAUGAAUCAUUGUGCCUUUUUCUCACAGUAUUUUUUUUCAGAAUCAUUGAUACUAUAUGAAAUAUGCAGAUUUAAGAUCACACAUAAGUAUGUAUGGACCUACGACUUUUUUCGUCUAAGACUGACACCAACCAACCCUCCUCAGCAGCUGCACAGUCAUUGAGCUACUUUAAUUCUGUAAGCAUAUUCUCAUUUAUCUGAAGGACUUCGUAGCAGUUGUGGUGUUGGUAUGUGUAACUAGGGACUUAAGCCAAUCUGAAAUGGGUUGAUGUGUCAUCUAAGCUUCAUGAGGGACUGAUCCAAUGUGGAUACGUGGAUAGUUCCUUAAGAAAAACAAAACCAAAAUCAUGAACAAAAGAAAACAGAGUAGCAAUGAACACUGUUAUUCAAAACCAGGUUGCUCAUGAUUCAGUGGUUAGCAUAGUGGUUAGACUAGUUGGACAAGCAGGAAAAUGGGAUUCAGGUGUGUCCUCAUUCAUAUCAAUGUCUCUUCCUUCCCAUGACCAUAUGUUAAUCACCAGACCAGUGUCUAGGCUGGAGUAUGGUGAGAAGGGAGCUAAGGGCAAAGUCCCCCUCUGCGUCCUCACAGAUUUGACCAAGAGAAAAUAAAUGUUCAGAGGCAGGAGACAACAUGGUUGUAACCUAACGUCUGUGGUACUCUGGAUGCGGGAGCAAGUUGCUCUGGAUUUCAGUCUAUUCAAAAGAGUAGUUUUGAAUUUUGUUACAUAAUCAUGAGAAAAGAGACAGGGCUAAUCUUGAAAGCUAGAGCACAAAACUUGGCAGGUGCUAUAACUGCUUGGGUGUUGCAUAACAUACCCCCUCCCACAGCAGCUGCAUUUCAAAAGGAGUGAGUAGUGUUCUGUUCUUCAAAGGCUACUUUAGGCACUGCCUCAGGAGAGGACUCCCAAUUUUUGGCUCCUGAAUAGAUGAAGAUGCCACCUUUGUGGUGCUGACUCAGACAUCUUGGCUUUAACAGGGCGACAGCCACACCUCCCUGUACAGAAUUUCCUCUUGGCUUGGUGACUCCUCGUUAGCAUGUGUAUUUUAUGAAUUCCUAAGUCUUGCUUAAUUUUGAAAAAAAGAAAAGUAUUUGAUUUAAAUACUGUUCUGGACAUUUUAUAUCCAGAACAUUUUGCAUAUUUUAUUUGUAACCAGAAUUUUUCCUGUUUUUCCCUCCUAUUUCUUUAGACACACUGACAUCUCUAGCAGUACCACUUUUUCAGUAUGAAAAUGACUGGGAGUGAUUACUUUUAUUUUAAAGUAGUCAAGAAGCAACUUGUUUAUGAUAAAAACAAGGUUACAGGUAUGGGAAAACCAUCCUACUUACACUUAAAAAUUAAAUUAAUGCUACCACAAUUUAUGGGAAUUGACCCUGAAGCAUUUUUGAAUGUUAACAGCUAUUUUGUUAAAAUUUUAUUAAAAAAAAGGUCAGAUGAAACCUUUUUCUUUUUUUCUUACCACCAUGCAAAUUGAUGAACUUUAAAAUUAAAACUUGUACAUAUUAAUGGGCAGAAAAUAGCAGUUAUGUUUUGUUAAAAAGUGUAAGACAAAUAUUCUGUCUACCUAAAGCAAGCUAGUUUAGCAGGAAGUCUUCUGAAUGCCAAAUUCUGCCUCAUGUAUUCACAAAAGUAGCACUUCAUUUUGCAAGCUGAUUAAUUAAUUAAUUUCCUUGACUUGUUAGGUUAAAGGUUGAAGGAACAAAGUUUUUGGGCGUGAUGCAAUUUUAUUGUACAGUUUCAUUUUAACAGAAGCUUUUAAACUUUUUUAAGUUUUUUAGAAAAUCUCACUAAAAUGGCAAAAGCUCAGAGCCUGUACUUGUAGAGGUCUUUCUUACUGAUCUGAAGAGAAAUGAAAUACUAGAGAGAAAACAGA